rnacentral:rRNA from 1 species
CGGCGGACGGGUGAGUAAUGUCUGGGAAACUGCCCGAUGGAGGGGGAUAACUACUGGAAACGGUAGCUAAUACCGCAUAACGUCGCAAGACCAAAGAGGGGGACCUUCGGGCCUCUUGCCAUCGGAUGUGCCCAGAUGGGAUUAGCUAGUAGGUAAGGUAACGGCUUACCUAGGCGACGAUCCCUAGCUGGUCUGAGAGGAUGAUCAGCCACACUGGGACUGAGACACGGUCCAG